CCCGUUUCUGUGGUUUUGAACCAAUUGAAAUGUCUCGAUGUAGAAACUAGACUGGAGUCCAUCGAGAUUCUAGACACCACAUUAAGUAGACUUCUUACCAGGCGAGACUUGUAGAAAAUGUCCACUAGAAGAUCCUCUUCAUCUUAUGUGUCUAACGUCCAUCAAGGCUACAAGAGACUGGCUCGUAUGUCAGCAGAAUCGGAAAAAUUCUCGAGCAAAUAUUCCGACGCUGAUAGUGAAGAUCUGUUUAAACCCAAGAUACUAACAAACGUGGUCAGAGAAGAGAAGAUUCAAACCAUUAACCAGCGAGUCACUCGACCAACAGCCAACUCACUUCGUCUGCCACCAUUUCAUUCCCAGGAUCAGAUGAAACCUUUUCUUGAUUGUUGCUUUCUAACGGAAGCUGACUGGACACUCGAAGAAAACCUGUAGUAGUUGCAGUCCUCUGCUUGAUACCAGUGCAGCACUGACGUACAUCAUUUCACAGCACGCUAUUACGGGAAACCUGUUCAUAAGAUGUUCAGAGACUCUAAUAUUAGACAAAUGUUCAACAGGGAAAGAAUGUCAAUGUCUACGUCUUUUGACUUGUUCAAGACUUUCACAAGUUAUCUUUAUCAGUUUUUGUGUAGACUACUUAUUGACCUCAUUUCACAACUUAUAUCUACUUUGAUCAACAGAAUGCCAGAUCUCUGUCUUGCAUCGUGGCAUUAGGAUAGUGCUGCUCAAUAAAGAUGGCGGUUUAAGGGAAGAAAAUAGACAGAAGACGGCAAGAUGUCCCAAUAACAUCGGCUCUAGACCAACAGCCCAUGGAUGUUCGCGUCCAGUCUAUAACAAGUUAUGGACUCAUCCCAGUAAGGACAGCUAUGAACGGAAGUGGCGAUCACAUGCCCGAACUCUGACAAGUGACUUUUUGCCUGCUGGCCAUCUGGGUAAAUCUUACUCUCUCUACAAGUUGUCAACUCAAGAGAAGUCCAGACUUGGUCAACGGCGAGCAUUUUAAGGAAGAAAUAUUCACAUGUAAAAGAUGGGUCAUGUUUCUGAAUCAUCAUUUAGUUGCAUCAUUUUAUAUCAGAAUCAAUAUUCUAACUUAAAACUGAAUAUCAACAUUUUAGAUUCAACAGAGUCAACGUCUGUGAACAUCAUUCCUCAAAAUAACAAUUUUGAAUCAAAUCAAUUCCAAUCAAAUUCGAACUCAACAUGAACCAUCAAGAAAACCAAAAUGUCCGCUGUGAUGUACUCAAACAUAUUGCUCUGUACUGCUAUGUGUCUACAUUAAAGUGUCAGCGGGUCUA